rnacentral:lncRNA from 1 species
UGAACUCAUGGAACCACGGCCAGCGCAUGCUGAAUGUGAAAUUCUCGUGAUUUGCCAUGUUAUUAGGUCUAGGAGACAUUGGGAGUUUCGUUGCUGCGAGAGAUCAGGUUAUACCUUCCUAUAGAAAUCUAGUAGCAACACUGGACACCCGAUAGCCGGGUAAACAAGCAGCCACAUCUCUGAUAUUAACAGAUAUUAUGCAGCUCCAAUUUUUCAACAGAUUACGGCUCUUCACUACCACAAGCAUAACAUUGAUUCUGAGAGGGAGCAGGCAAUGGCAAUGGUGCGGAUAGAUGGUGGAGCAGCUGAUGCGUCAAUUGAAGACCUUUUCUGCCUGUCCCGGACUCUGUCGGAGGAGAUAUUGAUGAGCUUAGUUGGGAAGGCUUAAUCUUUUGUACUUAAGAAUAGUCUUGCUGCCUUUUGUGCACUGCUGAACGGGGGUGGGAUCGUUGUCAUGGCCAUGCCGUGCUGUCGGUAGUGUAGGCGCUUCACCUGUACCUGUCUGUUCUAUUGUUGAACUUUGUAAAUUCGUUGCUCAAGAGUGAUGAAUUCCGGGCAUGGC